UUAUUUUUGUCGCCGGAUAAAAAUAAAAAAGCAUCAAAGCAUCUGUCGUAGGCCAUAGAAGAUAGAUGAUUUGGUGCUUUUUUUGA
rnacentral:ncRNA from 1 species